UACGAAGGGGGCUAGCGUUGCUCGGAAUCACUGGGCGUAAAGCGCACGUAGGCGGCUUUCUAAGUCAGGGGUGAAAUCCUGGAGCUCAACUCCAGAACUGCCUUUGAUACUGGAGAGCUUGAGUCCGGAAGAGGUGAGUGGAACUCCGAGUGUAGAGGUGAAAUUCGUAGAUAUUCGGAAGAACACCAGUGGCGAAGGCAGCCCCCUGGGCCAAUACUGACGCUCAUGCACGAAAGCGUGGGGAGCAAACAGG
rnacentral:rRNA from 1 species